UAGCACAGAGGUGCAGCUUAUAUACUAAAAUUAGAACAACACAGAGAGGAUCAGCAGGGCCUCUUUGCAAGGAUGAGACACAUUCAUGAUGCUUCCAUGGUUUAA
ensembl:snRNA LOC120095371 U6 spliceosomal RNA